CGGUUGCUUGAGGAGGGGUUCGCGCCUGAUUAGCUUGUUGGUGAGGUAACGGCUCACCAAGGCUGCAAUCAGUAGCCGGCCUGAGAGGGUGAACGGCCACACUGGAACUGAGACACGGUCCAG
rnacentral:rRNA from 1 species